CCUGCCCCAGCAGAGAGACCCGCGAAC
rnacentral:rRNA from 1 species